GGGGGUUUAGCUCAGCGGCAUAAGCGCCUGCCUUGAAAGCAGGCAGUCGUGAGUUCGAUCCCCGGUACCCAUA
rnacentral:tRNA from 1 species